AGAGAGAGAGAGAGAGAAAGAGAGAGAUGAGCUGAAAUGCCAUCGAUAGCAGACGGACUUCAUUACUACUCAUUUGCUUUCGAUGAUGGAACCUCCAAAUCGACAAUCGGCACCAUUGAAUAUAAUGUAUACUACUUGAAGUAUCCAGAAACCAAAUUUCAAAUCUUUUCAACAUAAUUAGCCUAAUAAUCAAAGGGUUUCAAAAUUUAUAAUUAUAGCGGUCGAUAUAAGAUUUUUUUUCGUUUAACGGAAUAAAGAUAUCCAAAUAAAUUGAAUUUUGGUUAGAAUUUAAUUAGUUAGAAAAA
rnacentral:lncRNA from 1 species